rnacentral:ncRNA from 11 species
GGGUAGCUUAGUUGGUAGAGCGUGGUGCUAAUAACGCCAAGGUCAUGGGUUCGAUCCCAGC